AUCCUAGCCCUAUGAGACCUUACAUGCUGGUUUCUAGUCUUCUCCACCGGAGGUAACAGUUUGCAGUCAAAACUGUAACGGUUGUUGGUGUCUGCUCAUAGCUUCUUGUUCCUCAAUCUAAUUGAUCGCAUAUAUAACUCCGAUCACCUAUCAGUACCAGGCUUGGUAUCGGACCGUACAACCAAGCGGUGCUACUCCACCAAGGAGGAAUCGGUACCGGCAGCAUAAAACCAUGCAAAAACAUCUCUGUAUUCAGCGGUAAGAACAGCUUUUUUCUCGUCUGAAGAUUGCAGCCCUCAGCUGAGUAAGAUGGGGGGCUGUCCUCAACCGACCUGAUCGUCCCAAUCCUCACUAAAAACAGACAGAUCUCAUAUCUUUACUGAAUACGCC
rnacentral:lncRNA from 1 species